GUGCGCGCUUGUGCGGAGCCGGAGGUGGGGGCCGAACCAGCCAAGGUUGCGGGGGCCGCAGAGCCGGACGAAGACGGAGGGCGGAGCCGGCUUCGGGACUGCGGAGACUACACACCGAGCGAGCGCCUGGGCCCGAAGGGAGCGAUGCUGUGGUUCCAGGGCGCCAUUCCGGCCGCCAUCGCGACGGCCAAAAGGAGCGGCGCGGUCUUCGUGGUGUUCGUGGCAGGUGAUGAUGAACAGUCUACACAGAUGGCUGCAAGUUGGGAAGAUGAUAAAGUUACAGAAGCAUCUUCAAACAGUUUUGUUGCUAUUAAAAUCGAUACCAAAAGAUGCAUUUGCUAAAAAGUGAAACAUCAGUAGCAAAUGGCAGUCAGUCAGAAAGUUCAGUGUCUACUCCAUCUGCGUCAUUUGAACCUAACAACACUUGUGAAAACUCUCAGUCCAGAAAUGCAGAGCUUUGUGAGAUACCACCCACUUCUGAUACAAAGUCAGAUACUGCAACAGGAGGAGAAAGUGCAGGCCAUGCCACUUCCUCUCAGGAGCCUAGUGGAUGCUCAGAUCAGAGACC
rnacentral:lncRNA from 1 species